UACGUAGGGGGCAAGCGUUAUCCGGAUUUACUGGGUGUAAAGGGAGCGUAGGUGGCAAGGCAAGUCAGAUGUGAAAACCCGGGGCCCAACCCCGGGAGUGCUUUGGAAACUGUGAAGCUGGAGUGCGGGAGGGGCAGGCGGAAUGCGCGGUGUAGCGGUGAAAUGCAUAGAUAUCGCGCAGAACCCCGAUUGCGAAGGCAGCCUGCCGGCCCCACACUGACGCUGAGGCACGAAAGCGUGGGUAUCGAACAGG
rnacentral:rRNA from 1 species